AAGGCUUUAGCUUAAUUAAAGUAUCUGCUUUGCAUGCAGAAGAUGUGGGGUAGAAUCCUGCAAGCCUUA
rnacentral:tRNA from 1 species